rnacentral:lncRNA from 1 species
AGUCAUCAAAGCAGAAGCCUGGCUUUGCUCUAUUAAGAUUGGAAAUGUACACUACCAAACACUCAGUCCACUGUUGAGCCCCAGUGCUGGAAGGAAGGAAGGCCUUUCUUCCUGUGUUAAUUGCAUAGAGGCUACAGGGGUUAGCCUGGACUAAAGGCAUCCUCGUGUUUUGAGCUAUUCACCUCAGUAGAAAAGAAUCUAAGGGAAGAUCACUGUAGUUUAGCUCUGUUGACCUGUGCACCUACCCCUUGGAAAUGUCUGCUGUUAUUUCUAAUUCCACAGGUCAUCAGAUGCCUUCUUGAUAAUAUAUGAACGAUAAAAACAACUUUCACUUCUUCCUAUUGUAAUCGUGUGCCAUGGAUCUGAUCUGUACCAUGACCCUACAUAAGGCUGGAUGGCACCCUCAGGCUGAGGGCCCCAAUGUAUGUGUGGCUGUGGGUGUGGGUGUGGGUGUGUCUGCUGAGUAAGGAACACUAUUCUCAAGAUUCUAAAGCUCAAUUCAAGUGACACAUUAAUGAUAAACUCAGAUCUGAUCAAGAGUCUGGAUUUCUAACAGUCCUUGCUUCGGGGGUGUGCUGGCAACUUAACUCGGGUGCCUUACAUCUUUUCUAAUCAUAGUGUUGCAUAUGAGCCUGCCCUCACUCCCUCUGUGGAAUCCCUUUGCACCUGAGAGCCUACUGAAGUGGCUGGUAGAAAAAGGGGCCUGAGUGGAGGAUUAUCAGUAUCGCGAUUUGCAGGAUUCCCUUCUGGGCUUCAUUCUGGAAACUUUUGUUAGGGCUGCUUUUCUUAAGUGCCCACAUUUGAUGGAGGAUGGAAGUAAUUUGAAUGUAUUUGAUUUAUAUAUAUAUAUAUAUAUUAAGGUUAAAAGAUGGUUGUAGCAUUUAAAAUGGAAAAUUUUCUCCUCAGUUUGCUAGUAUCUUGGGUGUAUUCUCUCUAAGUGUAGCUCAAAUAGGUCAUCAUGAAAGGUUAAAAAAGUGAGGUGGCCAUGUUACGCUGGUGGUUAAGGCCAGGGCCUCUCCUACCACUGUGCCACUGACUUGCUAUGUGACCCUGGGCAAGUCACUUAACUAUAAGGUGCCUCAGUUUUCCUUCUGUUAAAAUGGGGAUAAUAAUACUGACCUACCUCAAAGGGCAGUUUUGAGGCGUGACUAAUGCUUUUUAGAAAGCAUUUUGGGAUCCUUCAGCACAGGAAUUCUCAAGACCUGAGUAUUUUUUAUAAUAGCAAUGUCCACCAUGAACUUGAUAUGGCCGUGUGUCCCAGAUGCUGUCAUUAGUCUAUAUGGUUCUCCAAAAAAUUGAAUGAAUCCAUUGGAGAAGCAGUGGAUUAACUAGCCAGACAAAAUUUGAGAAUGCAUAAAAAACACAUUGCCACAGAAACAUACAGAGGAUGCCUUUUCUGUGAUUAGGUGGGAUUUUUUCCCUUUUUAUGUGGGACAUAGUAGUUACUUGUGCCAAGAAUAAUUUUGGAAUAAUUUCUAUUAACAUCAACUCUGAAGCUAAUUGUACUAAUCUGAGAUU